rnacentral:misc_RNA from 1 species
UGUAUUUGUUCUGGUGGUUAUAGAGUAGCAAAAGAAGCAAGUGGAGUGGGUGAGGGGAGACCACAGUUGUGGUAUUAGUGGUAAAACAAGUAUGAAUAUCUAAAUGCAUCCAUCAAUUUUUUUUUUAGCAUGUUUGUAUAUCUGUAUUGGUGUAUGCAUAACCUUCCACGUCAUUGUGACCAAUGCAGACUAUCAAAUCAGUUGAAUGGAUG